rnacentral:piRNA from 1 species
UCUGGCUGAUGAAAGUUCCCUUAUGGUUAGA